GGGAUUGGGGGUGCGAUGAGCCGGUUCCAGGAAAUAGCUCCAUCGACAUUGACCGUACCCUAAACCGACACAGGUGGACUGGUAGAGUAUACCAAGGCGCUUGAGAGAACUAUACUGAAGGAACUCGGCAAAUUGCAUGCGUAACUUCGGGAUAAGCAUGACUUCUAUCGGGGCAACCCUUUAGGAGUGGCACAAAAGAGGGGGUGGCGACUGUUUACUAAAAACACAGGGCUCUGCGAAGUUGCAAAACGACGUAUAGGGUCUGACGCCUGCCCGGUGCCGGAAGGUUAAAAGGAGGGGUUAACGCCCUGAAUUGAAGCCCCGGUAAACGGCGGCCGUAACAAUAACGGUCCUAAGGUAGCGAAAUUCCUCGUCGGGUAAGUUCCGACCUGCACGAAUGGCGUAACGACUUCCCCACUGUCUCCAGUAUAGACUCAGCGAAAUUGAAUUCCCCGUGAAGAUGCGGGGUUCCUGCGGUCAGACGGAAAGACCCCAUGCACCUUUACUAUAGCUUUACGCUGGCAUUUGUGUCGGCAUGUGCAGGAUAGGUGGUAGGCUUUGAAGCAAGGACGCUAGUUCGUGUGGAGCCAAAAGAUGAGAUACCACCCUUAUCGUCAUAGAUGUCUAACCGCGGCAUAACAGUGUCCGGGACAGCGUAUGGUGGGUAGUUUGACUGGGGCGGUCGCCUCCCAAAGAGUAACGGAGGCGCGCGAUGGUGGGCUCAGAACGGUCGGAAAUCGUUCGACGAGUGCAAUGGCAUAAGCCUGCCUGACUGCGAGACCGACAGGUCGAGCAGAGACGAAAGUCGGUCAUAGUGAUCCGGUGGUCCCGCGUGGAAGGGCCAUCGCUCAACGAAUAAAAGGUACGCUGUGGAUAACAGGCUGAUAAUGCCCAAGAGUCCAUAUCGACGGCAUUGUUUGGCACCUCGAUGUCGGCUCAUCACAUCCCGGGGCUGGAGCAGGUCCCAAGGGUAUGGCUGUUCGCCAUUUGGAGUGGUACGUGAGCUGGGUUUAGAACGUCGUGAGACAGUUCGGUCCCUAUCUGCCGUGGGUGUAGGAAUAUUGAGAAGAGCUGACCCUAGUACGAGAGGACCGGGUUGGACGAAUCUCUGGUGGACCUGUUGUGGCGCCAGCCGCAUUGCAGGGUAGCUAAAUUCGGACGGGAUAACUGCUGAAAGCAUCUAAGCAGGAAGCCUCCUUCAAAACUAGUAUUCCCUUGAGAGCCGUGGAAGACCACCACGUCGAUAGGCCGGGUGUGGAAGCGUAGCAAUACGUGAGGCUUACCGGUACUAAUAGCUCC
rnacentral:rRNA from 1 species